AUGAUGACUCUCGGCAACGGAUAUCUCGGCUCUCGCAACGAUGAAGAACGUAGCGAAUUGCGAUGCCUGGUGUGAAUUGCAGAAUCCCGUGAACCAUCGAGUCUUUGAACGCAAGUUGCGCCCGAGGCCACCAGGCCGAGGGCAUGCCUGCCUGGGCGUCAUGC
rnacentral:rRNA from 1 species